CAAAAUCACCUUAGCGGAUGGACUGGAGUAGCUUUGAGUUUCAAGCGAACCAGGAUAAAAAUACUUGUGUUUUUAUCUCUUUGUUAUUAACAUUUUAGUGGUGUUCUUAAGUUGAGUAAAAUCUCUUGUUUUGUAAAACCUAAUUCAAACCCCCAUUUCUUGUGUUUUUCACACCUUCAGUAAAUCCCUUUUAAGAGGAGGUUACAGAAAAAGAAAGCAAGUAAAUGGCAUUGAAAAUUUAAUUGAAUUUCCAUUAAAUUACAACAUUUUAUAUUUUCCCUUAUGUCCUCUAGCCCUCAUUACUCUGCUUCUAGAGAUGAUGCUUGGAUUGUUCCCUUCCAUUUAAGUUUUAUGGUGGUGCGAGCUUGUAUGCUGCAGACUUAUGCCUUUGAAUAUUUUCUAACUUUUGCAUGAAUCUCUCCUUAGAGUUUCAGUUUAUCAAGAGAUUUACCCUAUUUUGAUUAAGCUUCCCUUUCAGGUUUUCGACUUACUGAGCUUAAUUUUAUUUAUCCCUAAUUUUUGCCAAAGUUUCCCUUGCGGGUUUUCAACUCACCGGGAUGCUCAUUUUUGCCUAAGCCGCUCUUUCAGGUUUUUGACUCAAUGAGCUUUAUUAUCUAUCUCUUUUUUAUUAGGCAUAAUACUUUUUGGUUGGGUUAGAGUUGAUGGGAUGUGUCAACUCUUAUCCAUCCAUAUUUAUGAGAACUAAAGCUCCACCAGAGAAAUCCUCCUUCACCAUAUAUGGUAUUUCGUAGUUAGGGAUCCAUUUUCCGCGAGGAUCUUUUUAGAGGGAGAUUAUUUUCUUCAGCACCAAGUCACCUACUCUGAACUCUCGAGUCGGACCUUCUUGUUGAAUUCCCUCUAUAGUCUUUUCUUAUACAAUUGCCCAUGGCAUAACACGAUCAUUCUCUUCUCUUCGAUCAGAUUGAGCUGGUCAAACUUGGUUUGCACCCAUUAUGCCUCUUCUAGUUCAGUCUCUAUUAGGAAUCUCAACUUCUAUUGGAAGCACUUCUUCCAUGCCAUUGACUAGAGAGAAAGGGGUUACCCCAGUUGAAGUACGAACGAAUAUUCUGUACCCGUGCAAAGCAAAAGGUAGCAUCCUGUGCUAGUCCUUAUAAGUCUUCACCAUUUUCUGAAUGAUCUUUUUGAUGUUUUUGUUAGUUGCUUAUACAUCGUCAUUCAUAUUUGGUAUGUAAGGUGAUGAGUUAUGAUGUUAAAUCCCGAAGCUAUCACACAACUCUCACAUCAUCUUAUUGUUCAGAUUCAACCCAUUAUCAAUGAUAAUCUUGCUAGGAGUCCUAUAAUGACAAAUUAUUUCCUUCUUGAUAAAUCGGGUAACUACUUACUUUGUCACGUUUGCAUAGGAAUCAACCUCUAACCACUUGGUGAAGUAAUCAAUGGCCACCAGGAUGAAACAAUGUUCAUUUAAAGCUUUCAGAUUGAUCAUUCCAAUCAUGUUUAGGCCCCACAUAGAGAAUGAUCAUGAUGCAGUUAAGACAUUCAGAGGAUUAGGUGGCAUGUGCACCUUAUCAGCAUAAGUCUGGAAUUUAUGGCACGUCCUGGCAUAAAGGAUACAAUCGGUUUCCAUCGUCAUCCAGUAGUAACCAUAUCUAAGAAUCCUCUUCGCCAUUGUAUGUCCGAUCCUCUUCGUCAUUGUAUAUCUGUUUGCUUGAAUUCCGAAAGAACCUUCAUGAAUUUAUUUGAUAAGCAUGUAUGUUUUGUGUUUUUCCACAACUUAUGGUUCUUCUCAUAGCUUGGGUAUGAAGUUUCCCUCACAACGUACCCAUAACCAAAAAGUUCAUAUCAAUAUACAAUAGUUGAAUAAUACAGUAAUAAAGCAUAUAAAGAUAAAUACGAGAAUACACAAACACAAACCAAACUAGGGUGGACUUGCUUAGGAAAUGUCCCCAGCAGAGUCGCCAACUGUCGUGGUGCAAAAAAUACCCGUGCGCAUCGCACACUUAAAAUACAACAGAGUCGCCACCGAAUUUUAUUUUCUCCAAAGGAACUUGAAAAUAUUGAUAAAACCCGUUUAAGCUAAGGUAAAUGGUCGUCGCAACCAAAAGCGGGUUCAGGAGUCAGUUAUGCAAGGGAAAGUUAUUAGCACCCCUCACAUCUGUUGUACUCAAGCGAUUCCAUUUAGUUAGUUAUGAGAAUGAGUAUUAGCGUGAUAUUUACUUGUUAAGCGAGAAAAGAUAAAGAAAGACAGGGUUUUUGGUUUUUAGUUUAAUGGGUUUGACGAGAUGAUCCCGCUCCUACGUAUCAUCUGCUACAAUGAGGAACUCAAGACCACGUAGUUCUAUGAAGAAAAUAUCGCGUUAGUUGAUUGAUUUUAAGGAGUGAUGCUUUAGACAUUUUGAGCGUUUAAACCUUUACUUGUUGCUCGCUCUCGGAGGUUGAAGUGUUUGUUUGUUUUGCAUCAAAAUGGAUAAAACAUACUCAUUUCUGAAAAUGGUUUUUGAAGUCACGCAAAGGCAAAAAAAUAAGUUUGAUUAGUUAAGUUGCAUUUAGGUGGAGACAUGCAUUCAAACAGGGAGUUCUACAACGGUAUUCAAACACCUGGGAAAGGAAGGGGCCUAAGCCUAAUCACUCUCUUUUUCAUCCAAAAUUUGUUAUGAAAACUUGUGGAGAAUUAAGUUAAAGUUCAUUAAUUGAGGAUGAUUAUUCACACAAGGAGCUCUACAAGAAUGUCCAAAUAAUCUGAGAAGGAGAAGGUCUAAACCCGGUGAAUCUUUUUCUUCUAUAGGAGAACAAACUUAUUUCGAAUAUUUUUUAUGUUUUAAAACGGAAGACGAAUGUUCGAACAUGUAGCUCUACAACAGUGUUCAAACACUCGGGGAAAGAAAAGGUUUAAAUCCAAUCAAUCAUUUUUCUUCCAAGUUGUUGUUAAAGGCUUUGGAAAUAAACUUGAUGUUUGAUCAAGUGUUGUAAGUUGACUAUGAAAAGAAUUUGAUGUAUUCGAAAUGGAUGCUUAACAUUGGAUCAAACACUCGCGUUAUGGAACAUGGUUUGAUUUAUGAAAAAUACUCAACGUUGGAUCGAGCGUUAUUUAUUCUUUUUUUUUGAAAUGGUUCAUUUUAUGUUAUUCUUGAUUAAUUCUAAAUUAAUAGACAAAAUAGAAGAAACUGCAAAAAUUAUUACAAACUAUGGGAGAGGGCACACUUUUAUCGAAUAGGAAUAAUAUGGAUAAAAAUAAAAUAGGCAAAAAUAAAAAUAAACCAAGUCAUACAAGAAUAAAACUAGGUCUAAAAAUAAAAAGAAAAAACAAAUCACAUGUUUAAAAAUAAAAUUAAUUAGUAAGGUCAACUAAAAUUAAUUAAUAUAAUUAAUCAACUUGCAUUAAUUAAUUAAACUAAGUAAUUCUAAUUAAUAUUAUAAAAAAACUAAUUGGAAAAACCCCAAAAACCUAAUUAUAAACCAAUUAUAUUAACAAAAACUAAUUAUAUAAAACUGAAUAUAAAUCUAAAAAAACUAAAGAAAAAAGUUGAAUUGGUCUAAAAAACAAACAAGCAGUCCAAGGUAGCCAAGGUGGGGGCGUUAUAGUCAGCAAAAAAAUAGGGGUGCGAAGGUAAUUGGGGUGCUGGUUGUAACACCCUAAAAACCCGCGUGAAAUUAUUAAAGAAUUUAAUUAAUGAAAUACAAUCACUUAGGGUGUCACUCAUAACAAUCAUAGUUUGCUCCGUAACACGGGUUACAACAACACAUUUUACUGCAUACACUUGCACUUAGGAUGUUUGCACGACAUCCAACUCAUUUGAAUAACUUCGCAGCGGAAUCAUAAUAAAAAAACAUACCAAUUUAAAAUCUCAUAAUAGUUUUCAUAACAAAAUUAAAAAUACUGACUCGUGAGUCUUCUCCAAGUGAUAUCACACCAAAACAUAAAACAAAUACGAGAACAUGCAUUGUCUCUCAAGAAAUUCCAUCAUAAAAUAAUUAAUUCGCUCCCUAGUUUUACAUAUCAGAGCAUAACCAAAGCUAACACGAAUAAACUAAAAGAAUUAGCUCUAUGAGCUAACUUCCACUCACAACAAUGUAUCUACUCUUGAGUAUCUGCACGAUGCCCAUGUAAAGGCAACAUUCAAACAGAAGGGGUGAGAAUUCAUUUAAAUAAUAACAACAUAAAAUUUAAAAUAGAGUAUAACAUCUACGCAAUCAUGCAUAAUAAUAUAUCACAUUCACAUGCCUAAAUUAUCAUCGACAUCACAUACAACAACACCAUCACCACACAUAGUCAUAUUUCACGCAUAUAUUUCAUUCAUGCUAUAUGACUCACUAUAAAGACAAGGACUCAUAUGCAUAUGGUACCAAUUCAAUAUUUGGUUCUUCUUACGAACCCGAUCCCCCCUUCGAAAUUCUGAACUCCCCCUUCUGAGUUUUGGAUAAGUCUCUCGUCCCCCUUAGGACCUAUGACUUAUCUUCUUCAACAUAUCAACAAUGAAUGUAUGACAUGGUAAUAAUUCAAUUAACACAACAAUUAUAAUAAUAUUUAGUGAUCCAUAAUCGAUCACACAAUUGCAACCAUGCAUAACGUAACUCACCCUUUUGGACUACCACCAAUGCAAUUAACACAACAAUUAUAAUAAUAUUUAAUGAUCUACAAUUGAUCACACAAUUUAAACCAUGUGUAACGUAAUCCACCAUUCUGAACUAUCACAAAUAUAAUCAAACACACCAUCUCAAUCAUUCACAAUACAUCAAAUAAUUUGUCAAUACGGACCUCGUCCAUAUUCAUCACUUCAUACAAUGUUUCCCACCUGCUACCAAACUUUUAUAAAAUUGUUAAAAACAUUUUAUCCUUAAAAUAAAUUUAUAUUCCUCAGUUUCAUUUACCCAACACUAUGGACCCCCUCCAAAAAUGAUUUACAGGUUGAAAGUUAUGAUCAAAAUCGUGCACAAAAGCAUUACCAACAAGUUGUUGUUUUCCUGAAAUUUUCAACACGAUUUUCAUCUUCUCCGACCCCAAAAUCAUCCAUGAAAUCGUCACCAAAAAUAUUUAACCCCUGAAACAAAGUUAUAGUCCUCUAUUUCAGCUAUCCAACGCUUCAAAUCCCGUCCCAAAAUGAUUUUAGAGUUAAAAGUUAUGAUCAAAAUCGUGCACGAAGGCGUUACCAAAAAGUUGUUGUUUUUCUGAAAUUUCCAGCACGAUUUUCAUCUUCUUCAACCCCAAAAACUUCCAUGAAAUCAUCACAAAAAAUAUUUCAUGGUUUUAAACUUAGUCAUAAACAUACAUGUAUGAAUCACUACUUAUAGUCAUAUAAUCAUGAAUCUAUAUACUAUAUCAAUCCCUAAAACCUUCAAACAUCAUCAAUAAUGAACAUACAUGGACACUUUAAAACAUAAAUUUCAUUCAACAAAUGUCAACAUUCAUCAUCAAUCCAAAAAGAAUUAAAUAUUCCUCUACCCAAUCAAAUUUCUAUCCUUACCUUGUAAUUCCACAAAAAUCCAAGCUUUUGACUACGACUUCUCUUCCCUAGAGUUCUCCUUAGAUUUUCCUUACUUUUCUCUUCUCUCGCCUCUUUUUCUCCAAUUCCAAAAGUUUCAACUCACUUCUCUCCUCAUAAAUCAAAAACUUAAUUUUUAUCUUUCUAAUAUUCCACUAAGGCUAAACUUAUUACUAACUUACAUUAUUUAUUUUAAUUCUCCACAUUUCGCACUUUCCACCCCAAACUCAUUAUUAUUAUUUUAUUUAAAUAAUAACACUAAACCAUUAUUUUAAUCAAUUAAAUAAUUCUAAAUAAAUCUACCGACCUCUAAUUACUCUUCACACUCUCUACCUAAGGGUCACUCACCCUUGUUGCCAUAAUAUAUCUCAAUUAUCACACAAAUAAUAAUUAGAUACAUAUAUUAAAUUAUAAUUAAUUAAUAUAAUUUUUUUUAGAAAAAUGGGGUGUUACACUGAGCCAAUGGUUAGAGGGCACAAAUAGUGAGUCAUGGUGUUGACUCAUAUGACAGUGGCCAUUAGAUGCACAUAUCAAGGUGAUCAAUAGGGUAAUCCAACGGUGAAAAGUCUGUGUGCACGAUAAGGAUCAUGGUGAAGCAUGCAAAUUGUAACAUACAUGUGUGGUCCUGCAUGGCCACCACAUGUCUUCUAUCUGAGAACCCAGGGACACACGGAAGAAGCAAAAUGCAGGAUGAGGACUCAUUUUGCCAUCUACACUCUUUCUCUUCUCUUUCACGUCUUAUCUCUUCUCUUCAGUUCUCUCAACACACUUUCCAAAAGUCUUACCUCUCUCUCCUCUCAUCCCAUCUUCGCCGACCAACCUCCGGCGUUGCACCACCACCAAACACAAAAAACCUAACAUGACCUCCCCGUUAAAUCUCUUCCUCCAUCCAAAACCAAAUUUCUUCACCUAGCUUCAACUCAAAAGUUGUGAAACAAAAACCCAACAUAAACUCACCACAAGAAUCGAUUCAAACACAACGAAGAAUAUUGGCAAUGGAACAAGGAAUCACAACACAAUCACAACGCAAAGAUAUUAUUAGAACACAUAUUAAAAUUCGCAGAUGCAAAACCCUAGGUUUACACAAGCAUUUAAUUCACAACAAUUGCAUUAAAAAAUCAAGAAGAAAGGAAAUUAAAACAUGAAGAAAGUACCAAAUGGAAAAGUCGAGUUCUCUGGUGACGCUCUGACGACAGGUAAUUUUGUUUCUUGCUUUAAAUCUCCUUCUACUCCUUAUGUGUGUAUGUUAUUCGUAUAAUUGUUGUUUUGUUACCGCUUUGUUGAUUGUUACUGUGUAUCCGAUGGUGAGUGUGGCUUAGCUCAGGUAUCAAUUAGAGUUUCAAUAUGAAACUCCAAUAACCUUAGAAGGAGAGCGUUGAGUGUUGGUAUUUUUGAGGGAUUUCAACAGAGUUUUUCUCAGUGCGGAGGGUAGAAUUCAGUCCUCUUCAAUGAAGCAAUGGUCAUGUUUUAUAAUGAGAUAUUGGGAAGUUCAUAUGUCGGUUUCCUUUCUUCAAACAUGUGAGAUCGUUAGAGGAUAUUGAGGGAGUGGGGAGUUAGAAUUUACUUGAAGCUUGAGAAAGUUGUGGAGCAGCGUUGCAUAGGUG
rnacentral:lncRNA from 1 species